UUUGAUCCUGGCUCAGGAUGAACGCUAGCUACAGGCUUAACCAUGCAAGUCGAGGGGCAGCGGGAUUGAAGCUUGCUUCAAUUGCCGGCGACCGGCGCACGGGUGAGUAACGCGUAUCCAACCUUCCGUACACUCAGGGAUAGCCUUUCGAAAGAAAGAUUAAUACCUGAUGGUAUCUUAAGCACACAUGUAAUUAAGAUUAAAGAUUUAUCGGUGUACGAUGGGGAUGCGUUCCAUUAGGUAGUAGGCGGGGUAACGGCCCACCUAGCCUACGAUGGAUAGGGGUUCUGAGAGGAAGGUCCCCCACAUUGGAACUGAGACACGGUCCAAACUCCUACGGGAGGCAGCAGUGAGGAAUAUUGGUCAAUGGACGAGAGUCUGAACCAGCCAAGUAGCGUGAAGGAUGAAGGUCCUCGGAUUGUAAACUUCUUUUAUAAGGGAAUAAACCCUCCCACGUGUGGGAGCUUGUAUGUACCUUAUGAAUAAGCAUCGGCUAACUCCGUGCCAGCAGCCGCGGUAAUACGGAGGAUGCGAGCGUUAUCCGGAUUUAUUGGGUUUAAAGGGAGCGCAAACGGGUCGUUAAGUCAGCUGUGAAAGUUUGGGGCUCAACCUUAAAAUUGCAGUUGAUACUGGCGUCCUUGAGUGCGGUUGAGGUGUGCGGAAUUCGUGGUGUAGCGGUGAAAUGCUUAGAUAUCACGAAGAACUCCGAUUGCGAAGGCAGCACACUAAGCCGUAACUGACGUUCAUGCUCGAAAGUGUGGGUAUCAAACAGGAUUAGAUACCCUGGUAGUCCACACGGUAAACGAUGGAUACUCGCUGUUGGCGAUAUACUGUCAGCGGCUUAGCGAAAGCGUUAAGUAUCCCACCUGGGGAGUACGCCGGCAACGGUGAAACUCAAAGGAAUUGACGG
rnacentral:rRNA from 1 species